AUCUUCUUAACUAUUAUUAAGUUUAUAUCUUGAAAAUAUAAAAAAGGAAAUAUAUUCUCCUAGAAGAUU
rnacentral:tRNA from 1 species